UACGUAGGGUGCAAGCGUUGUCCGGAAUUAUUGGGCGUAAAGAGCUCGUAGGCGGUCUGUCACGUCGGCUGUGAAAUCCCGAGGCUCAACCUCGGGUCUGCAGUCGAUACGGGCAAACUAGAGUAUUGCAGGGGGAGACUGGAAUUCCUGGUGUAGCGGUGAAAUGCGCAGAUAUCAGGAGGAACACCGGUGGCGAAGGCGGGUCUCUGGGCAAUAACUGACGCUGAGGAGCGAAAGCGUGGGGGAGCGAACAGG
rnacentral:rRNA from 1 species